rnacentral:rRNA from 1 species
UACGAAGGGUGCAAGCGUUAAUCGGAAUUACUGGGCGUAAAGCGUGCGUAGGCGGUUUCUUAAGUCUGCUGUGAAAGCCCUGGGCUCAACCUGGGAAUGGCGGUGGAUACUGAGAAGCUGGAGUACGGUAGAGGAAGGUGGAAUUCCCGGUGUAGCGGUGAAAUGCGUAGAGAUCGGGAGGAACAUCAGUGGCGAAGGCGGCCUUCUGGACCAGUACUGACGCUGAGACACGAAAGCGUGGGCAGCAAACAGG